GCUUGCUGACAUUGAUGGCGACCGGCGGAUGGGUGAGUAACACGUAUCCGAACCUGGCAUAAUACAAUCGGAUAGGCUUUCGAAAGAAAGAUUAAUACGGUAUGUUACAUAUUAGGCGCAUGUCAAAUAUGUCAAAGAGUCAUCGGUAUAUGAUGGGGAUGCGUUCCAUUAGGCAGUCGGCGGGGUAACGGCCCACCGAACCGACGAUGGAUAGGGGUUCUGAGAGGAAGGUCCCCCACAUUCGGAACUGAGACACGGUCCAAACUCCUACGGGAGGCAGCAGUGAGGAAUAUUGGUCAAUGGGCGCAAGCCUGAACCAGCCAAGUAGCGUGAAGGAUGACGGUCCUAUGGGUUGUAAACUUCUUUUGUAUGGGAGUAAAGUCCCCCACGAGUUGGGUGUUUGCGAGUACCAUACGAAUAAGCAUCGGCUAACUCCGUGCCAGCAGCCGCGGUAAUACGGAGGAUGCGAGCGUUAUCCGGAUUUAUUGGGUUUAAAGGGAGCGUAGGCGGGUCGAUAAGUCAGUUGUGAAAAUCCGGUGCUUAACAUCGGACGUGCAGUUGAAACUGUCGGUCUUGAGUGAGGCAGAGGCAUGCGGAAUUCAUGGUGUAGCGGUGAAAUGCAUAGAUAUCAUGAAGAACUCCGAUUGCGAAAGCAGCGUGCUGGACCUUAACUGACGCUGAUGCUCGAAAGUGCGGGUAUCAAACAGGAUUAGAUACCCUGGUAGUCCGCACAGUAAACGAUGAACACUCGCUGUUAGCGAUACACGGUUAGCGGCCAAGCGAAAGCGUUAAGUGUUCCACCUGGGGAGUACGCCGGCAACGGUGAAACUCAAAGGAAUUGACGGGGGCCCGCACAAGCGGAGGAACAUGUGGUUUAAUUCGAUGAUACGCGAGGAACCUUACCCGGGCUUGAAUUGCAUGCGGAUGGUGGGGAAACCCGUCAGCUUCGUUCGGCCAGCGCAUGUGAAGGUGCUGCAUGGUUGUCGUCAGCUCGUGCCGUGAGGUGUCGGCUUAAGUGCCAUAACGAGCGCAACCCUCAUAUUCAGUUACUAUCAGGUAGUGCUGAGGACUCUGAAUAGACUGCCGUCGUAAGAUGUGAGGAAGGUGGGGAUGACGUCAAAUCAGCACGGCCCUUACGUCCGGGGCUACACACGUGUUACAAUGGCCGUUACAGAGGGCAGCCACCCGGCGACGGGGCGCCAAUCCUCAAAGUCGGUCGUAGUUCGGACUGGAGUCUGCAACCCGACUCCACGAAGCUGGAUUCGCUAGUAAUCGCGCAUCAGCCAUGGCGCGGUGAAUACGUUCCCGGGCCUUGUACACACCGCCCGUCAAGCCAUGAAAGCCGGGGGUACCUAAA
rnacentral:rRNA from 1 species